GCGGAGAUGUGGUGUAGCUGGUUACACGGCUGUGCGAUGCCAAAACAUUUGGCUGACGCAGCAGACGCAGGUUCGAAUCCUGCCCUCUGCG